AGGGCGGUGUAAAAAGAACCCGAGAGGACGUUCUCGCGAGAAUUCCGUUUCCCCUCGCGCGCAUGCGCGACGAGUGUAGUCUGCCGGGAUUCAGUAGUCCAAAAUGGCUGCUGCGAUGGACGUUGACGCUCCGAGCGGCACCAAUAGUGGCGCUGGCAAGAAGCGCUUUGAAGUGAAGAAGUGGAAUGCAGUUGCUCUCUGGGCUUGGGACAUCGUGGUUGACAACUGUGCCAUUUGUAGAAAUCACAUUAUGGAUCUGUGCAUAGAAUGUCAAGCUAACCAAGCAUCGGCUACCUCUGAAGAAUGCACUGUUGCGUGGGGUGUUUGUAAUCAUGCUUUCCACUUUCAUUGCAUCUCUCGUUGGCUUAAAACUCGACAGGUGUGCCCAUUAGACAACCGAGAAUGGGAGUUCCAAAAGUAUGGACACUAGCAGGAGAGAGAUGAUCGCCAAGUUUAUUUUGUCAUCAGUUAAGCCUUGCAUCUUGUGUCUGUCCCAUGCAGGACCUUCCUCUUCCCACUGGCCCAAUUCCAAGCCCUUACAAAACUUCUGGCAGGCCCGAUGUCAAACUGGUUGCAUGUAAUCUUACCGGUUGUUCCUGUAAGUUGCAGUAAACUGAGUCACCUGGUGAAAGAUUUAAAUGGUUUUAGUCUUCCUUGUAACUUUGAUUACACUCUGAAAAAUCAGUAUUCUGAUACAGUAUUAAAAAGUGAUGUUAACAGGAAUGGUGGAAAGGUCUGGAUGUUCAAAUGAAUAUUCCUGGAAUUUGCAUAAAGGUAUACCAAAAUCUAUGUAAUAUUAAACUGUUGCACAGAUUGCUGCUUGCUGUAAUCUCCCCUUUACUUGAGAAAAAUUUGAUUCUCAUGUAGCUGUGGUAAGAGAUGUCAUAGCUGCUGGCAUUUUAUCUGUCACUUUCUGCCUUCUCCCCCACCAAGAAAUUGUACUACAAGGUGAACAUGUUUCCUGAAAAGUAUUAUAGCUCUAUAUUGCUGGGAUUAGAGAAGCCCUUCAGGAAAAUUGUGAGAUCCAGUGAAUGGAAAAAAUCUUCAGAGACUAGGCUGUUUAAUAAAGUGUAGCUGGAGAUUAUGGGAAUUGUAGUUCAACAGUUGGAGGGCUAUGUUUGCCCACCCCGGCUUACACAACCCCUUGACAAUGCUAGAUUGUAUCUGGUAUGCCUGCUCUUUUAAAGUUCUUGAAGAAUACCCCAGAGGACACCUCAGAUUCCAACCCACAAGCUGAGACUGGGUUCCCCCGCUCUCCUGGCUCGGACUCUACCCUGGACUCUGUCCAGAUUCACAUACAUGUGGAAUCAAAGGACUUACAUACAUUGGCGAUGCCUUGCAGAUCGUGACUAGCUCAGAUGGACACUUGUUUUCUUAUGGCUGUUUUGACCUGCAUGUAUGUAUGUAACCUCCCGCUUCGGGAACAUGGUCUGUAACAUAUUUGCAUGCUAAAUGAACCAUGCCAGCACAGCGGCUGACCACGCCAGGAACUCGUGCUGACAACACCCCUGGAGGACCCCCUGGACCUGGAGAAGACCCUCCGCUGUCAAGGACCCACGCCCAGAGGCUGCAAUUGGCAGAAGGCUGGCACGGCCCUACCAGCCACAUACAAGGUGAGGCCAGGAUUGGACCCUCCCUUGGACCUUUUGGACAUUCCUCUCACUGAACCCUUUUAACUGGACUCUACCCAAACCCAUAGGAACUUGCAUACAGUGCUAUAUUCUCUCUACCGUUGCAACCACACAUUCUUUAGUACGCAGCCGUGUUUUAUUGGGAAAUUCUAUUCACUGUUGCUUUUGUAAACCAUAUGCUAAACAUUCUCUAAUAAAAGUCAAUCUGUUGUGACGACA